GUCUGAUCAUCUUCUAGUUGAUCAUGUUAUGGCUUUCUUUUGAUGUUUUGAUCGUUUAAUUUUGGUUAUCUGCGGUCUGAUAAUCUUCUAGUUGAUCAUCUUUUGGUUUUGCCUUUGAUCGUUUAGUUAAUGGUUUCUGCUAGUUUGAUGCUUGCUUUUUGGCUUUUUUCCCCUCUCUGUUUAUCAUUUGACAUUUGCUUAAGGAAUUAUGGAUUUUCUAAAAUUAACCGGAGGUAUAAUUAUGUUCAUGUGAUUGUUUUGCAUUUUGUAUUUAGUUCUUGUUUACUAAUAUGGGAAUGCUUAAUAUUACCAUGUAAGUUGUAUUAAUUGAGUUCAGCUCAUGUAAAUGAUUGCAGAUGUAAUGAUCGUUAAGACUUUGUAAUAUAUCUGUACUAAAUGUGUCACA
rnacentral:misc_RNA from 1 species